ACUUUUAGUAAAAAAUUUCACUUUGCUUUAGACCAGUGGUUUCUUAACUUUUUCAAAUAGUGGUCCUUUCUUGAAUCUUUUCUUAUUCUAAGUGCGCAAUGCCUAAAUUUUUUAAUGAGACUAAGUCACAUUUAUAGCUAUUUAAAAUUUUUUUUAAUCAGCUUUUAAAAAAAGCAGUGAUGCCUGAGGGUAAUAUGGUACACAGUUAUAAGAAACAUUAUCUGAACUGAGAAACAAGUGUAAUUUUAAUAUAGUGACACCGAUCUAUCAAUGAACAUGUUUGUUAAGAAAUCCAUUUUAAUAGUUACUCUAUCUAUUUAAUGUAGGUGGUUUAAUGAUGUUGAAGAAGAAGUAAAAAGAGAUUCCAUUUCGCUGCAAGGAACAGAAAUUGUAUCUUCAAACAGUAUAAAAAUCAUCGAAUUCAGAGAUCAAGAAGGUACAUCAUUCCACCAUUUGGAAUUUUUAGAAGAAACGGAUAUAUUCAAACUCAAUUUAGCUUCCAUUAAUCUUUCUGAAUAUGUAUUGGAAAACAUUAAGGAAAUAUUAAUUGUUGUAGAGGA